rnacentral:miRNA from 1 species
CUGUGUGCAUAUGUAUGUGUGCAUGUUCAUAUGUGUAAAUGUGGACACAUGUAUCACAGUACACAUACGGAGGCCAGAGGACA